rnacentral:rRNA from 1 species
GACGAACGCUGGCGGCGUGCCUAAUACAUGCAAGUAGAACGCACAGUAUAUACCGUAGCUUGCUACACCAUAGACUGUGAGUUGCGAACGGGUGAGUAACGCGUAGGUAACCUGCCUGGUAGCGGGGGAUAACUAUUGGAAACGAUAGCUAAUACCGCAUAAUAUUAAUUAUUGCAUGAUAAUUGAUUGAAAGAUGCAACUGCAUCACUACCAGAUGGACCUGCGUUGUAUUAGCUAGUAGGUGAGGUAACGGCUCACCUAGGCGACGAUACAUAGCCGACCUGAGAGGGUGAUCGGCCACACUGGGACUGAGACACGGCCCAGACUCCUACGGGAGGCAGCAGUAGGGAAUCUUCGGCAAUGGACGAAAGUCUGACCGAGCAACGCCGCGUGAGUGAAGAAGGUUUUCGGAUCGUAAAGCUCUGUUGUAAGAGAAGAACGGGUGUGAGAGUGGAAAGUUCACACUGGACG